rnacentral:lncRNA from 1 species
GGGGGGGUGGGGGGUGUCACAGAGCUGGGAACUCGCUCAGAGCCAGGGUCUCUGCUGGGGUCAGCGUCUGUACGCUAAAGCCAGGGCGCAAAGUGCGUGGGCACUGCGGACACUAGAGGCUUAUGGCGCUGGAAAUACAAGGCCGAGUUGCCGGCGCAAAGAGUUCCCCGGGCGGGUUGGUGAUGCGGCGCGCUUUGAUAACAGGUGCCCAACACCUUGAUCAGUGCCUGCUUUGUAGUAGGCAUUCAAAUACUGUGGACUGGAUGAAUGGAGUCACUUCCCUUCCAACCUGCACACCAACGUGGUUGAACUGCCUCCUUUCUAAGUGCCAAAGUCUGUUUUACAAGGCUGAUAUCAAAGGAGCAUUACAAAAUAUUGUCUAACAGAAGUACCAGGGCUGGAUCCCAAAGUUUUGUGUAGAUCUUGAUAAAGAGUUUGGAUUUUAUUCUAACAAGAGUGAAGAGCAUGACAAUGUUUGCAGAAGAGUGAUGGCUUCUUUCAGGCAACAGUGACAAUUACACCUCCUCUUUUUCUCUUUGAUCCUCCACCCUCUCCCUCCAGCACCUGGUACAAAGCUGGGUACCCAGCAGACACUCUGUAAAUUAAAGUGCUGCCAGCCUGAACAAUCUC